UGGGCGGGGACCGGGCAGGAUGUGAUGUCAUGUGCUUGUAGACGCAGGAUUGGCGAGUGUGACUGUCUUCUGAGGACAUUUCAGAUUUUCAGCUGAAAUGACUUCCUCGGUGGUGGAUGAUGCGUUUCGCCAAAGUGCAUCCUUCUGCAGUUAUCUCUUUUUUUUUUUUUUUUUUUGGGCACUUUUUCCACCUCGUGUGUCGCUUGAAGAUUGAUCCCAGGGGGGUCUCGACUUGCACACUGCUGAUGUCACUCUUCAGAGAACAGAACUCCGCUCACAAGCCCCGAAGAAGCCCCACCUUUCAGAAAGACGUUUCUUUUCUUUUCUCCCGGGUGCUACUGAUCCGGUCUGUCCUCACACCUGACUCCCAGGUAAAGGGAGGGUGAACACACCUGACUCCCAGGUAAAGGGAGGGUGGUCACACCUGACUCCCAGGUAAAGGGAGGGUGAUCACACCUGACUCCCAGGUAAAGGGAGGGUGAACACACCUGACUCCCAGGUAAAGGGAGGGUGGUCACACCUGACUCCCAGGUAAAGGGAGGGUGAACACACCUGACUCCCAGGUAAAGGGAGGUGGUCACACCUGACUCCCAGGUAAAGGGAGGGUGGUCACACCUGACUCCCAGGUAAAGGGAGGGUGAACACACCUGACUCCCAGGUAAAGGGAGGGUGAACACACCUGACUCCCAGGUAAAGGGAGGGUGAACACACCUGACUCCCAGGUAAAGGACUGUGAUUUGCUGAUCCCUGCCCCACACUGUGUUGUGUUCUCUCCUAGCGGAAGUGCAGCUGUCAAUCACCUGGAGUGACAGGUGGCAUUUCCUGUGGGUGGGCGUGUCUGUCCAUGCGUUUGGUUUUCCUGUCUCUGUCCCAUGCUGCUGGGUAGUCCACUUCCUGUUAAAGAAAGUUGUGCUUCUGAUUUCUCUUCAGUGAACUUAAGCUCUUGUCAUUUGUUCCAUAAUCCUUGUCAGUAAUAAUAAUAAUAAUAAUAAUAUCAGUCGCA